UACAUAUGGGGCAAGCGUUGUUCGGAAUUACUGGGCAUAAAGGGUGCGUAGGUGGUCUGUUAAGUCAGGGGUGAAAUCCCGCGGCCCAACCGUGGAACUGCCUUUGAUUCUGGCGGACUUGAGUGCGUGAGGGGUAGGGGGAACGAGCAGUGUAGCGGUGAAAUGCGUAGAUAUCAUUUGGAACGCCAAUGGUGAAAACAGCUCGCUGGGGGUUUGCUGACGCUGAGACACGAAAGCCAGGGGAGCAAACGGG
rnacentral:rRNA from 1 species